rnacentral:tRNA from 1 species
UCCUGAGGCCAUAGUGGUUAGAGUGUUGGACUACGAUUCUGGAGACCAGGGUCCGAUUCCCAGCUCGGUCA